rnacentral:rRNA from 1 species
UACGUAGGGUGCAGGCGUUAAGCGGAAUUACUGGGCGUAAAGCGUGCGCAGGCGGUUUCUUAAGUCAGAUGGGAAAGCCCCCGGCUCAACUGGGGAGGGUCAUUCGAUACUGAUCGACUCGAAGGCAGGAGAGGGAAGUGGAAUUCCCGGUGUAGUGGUGAAAUGCGUAGAUAUCGGGAGGAACACCAGUGGCGAAGGCGACUUCCUGGCCUGUUCUUGACGCUGAGGCGCGAAAGCUAGGGGAGCAAACGGG